CGUUUGUAAUGUUUGUAAACGUCAUGUAGACGCGUCUCUGUUGUGGUGUGUUGCAGCCCUGACGCGUUUGACGCUUCACCGCACUUGUUUACCUCGGAUAAGGAACGAGAACGUUAGCUUAGGGGUUCCAAGAGAGCAUAUUAAGUGGUAGGGGAGACCAGGGCGAGUUGUCACACUGCCUAGGACAAGGAAAAGAUGCGGCGCAGCCAGGCUGUUUUGUCGGUGUAUUUUUGUUGGACCGUCAACCACUCGCAAAACUACGGUCUUACCUGCAUAGUACAAGUCGUACGACCUGUAUAGUACUAGGUCGUGCACUGAAGAAACUUUCACCGUCAUCUGCGUCGGGUUCGCAGCGCAAAAUGUUUCAGUGCCGUGUGAGUAAAACAUUUCGUGUUUUCAAAUUUCACAAUUUGCAGGACGCGAAGGAAAGCUCUGAAGCUUCCAUGACCGAAAUAUUUGAAUUUUUCCACGGAUUUCCGGCUGGACACUGUGUUGCGUCGAGGUGCCCAAAUGAGGAAUUAAAUAUUUGAGUUAAAUUUGUAGCAGCUGAAACAAAAAGUGCACUUCAGAGACGACGCCAAUUUGUGAUGUCUCGAGAAUGCAUUCCCUGCCUUCAGACGUCAUGAACUGGAACGAGUGCAUGGUUACUCUCUUUGUGUAAAAGAUUCAGAGCCACUACCCUCUCAGCACACCCUCAGCAAGCACAGACUUGCAAAGCAGUUUCACCAGCUGUGCUGAGGAUGUACGUGGUCUCCUACCGAGCGAUACUCAGGCAUCAACGAGGCCUUAUCGGAAACGGAACAACGCUUUUUGGUCACACGAUAACAAGUUGCCCGAAUUUUCGAGUGAUGUCCAGCCACUUCUUUAUGGAGUUAAUGAUGACAGGGACCACACAAGGCUUUGUUGCCAGUUGAGGGAUGAAAUCAUCAGAUACCUAGAUGAACAUCAACUAAUACUAUGCGAAAACAAGAUGGACAGAAGAUGGCAAUAUGAUGCGCUUGGUGAAACGCUGGUCACCACAUACCCACACAUGCGACUAAGUUCCUCCAACUCUCCAGGAAAGAAUAAAUUUGUUUGGACUGACUUCAUCACAAAACUAAGCACAACACGAAAGAUGAGGAGAGUGAGACGAAGAAAGGGACUUAGGCGUGACUUGAAAGGUGGAAGCACUGUGACAAAAAGUGAUGCCCCCUAAUGGGUAAAGGCAAUUCUCAUCAAAGCCAGUGCAUUCAAUAAGCAAUGUGCAUCAUGAGAUGCAGGUGCUCCUGCUGAUGGUUGAGAGUGAUGAAGGGCGUGGAAGCCUGGUUACACUACUGAAGAAGAGCGAUGGAACAUUUCUACUUAUCAUUAUAAUGUGCAUACAUACGUAACUGGUAGCGGAUGUAGCACAUUGAGGCUCUGUAGUCUUGCUCCAGUAGGACCAUUUUCUCCUGGUGACCUGAGUUCACUACUGCAAGUAAAGAUUAUCCAGUUCAAUUUUUA